AGGGCUCAAGAGGAGCGCAUGGGGAGCUCUCUCUCUCUCUUCCUCCCUCUUUCGUCUCUUCACAGGGUGAUGAGGGAGCAGCGCUGUUGGCGGUAGAGGAGGUGCGUGGCAGUCCAGGAAGCUCUCAUUCUGCUGCUGCGUGCCGCUUCGCCGUCGUCCGGCUUCAGCCUUACUCUCUCUCUCUGCGCGUGUGUGUCAGAGUUGCCUUACCCUGCCUCCUCUCCUCCCCCCCACAUUGAGUCCCCUUUUCCUCCUGCCUCUCGUGAGUGUGCUCUCGGUGCCUCUCUGGUCCUCUUAAUUCUCCUUCUUUUCGCCGUUUCUGCUCUGUCGUCUCCCUUUUUACGUCUCUCCUCGUCUUCUUCAGCAGACAGAUAAAGAGACGGAGACGGCUUCCUGGAGCGCAAAGUAACGGCUGCUCUUUCCAAGUUUCAGCGGCACCGGCAGCAGCAGGCUUGGGAUCAACCUGCCAAAGCACAGCCUUGAAGUUUGGACUAUAAAGCGGACCGCCUGCUUGCUGGGAAGCUGAGCGGGACAGCCCCUCCCUCCCAGCUAAACAAACUGUUAGAUAAUGGCCACCAGGGUACAUUACCUGGGGAUGAGUUGAAAACGCACAGUAAAAUGCAAACAAUAAAAGGUCCCUUCACAAA